AAAGAGUAUAACCCAUAAUUUUCAUGAACACAAAUCAUGUAAUUUUGUACACAUAUCUUUCUUUCUUAAUUACGAGAUUGUGACAAUUUUGUUUUUUACUUGUUAAAAUGUAACAUUCUUUUAUCUUAAUUCAUACAUCAAAUAAAAUACGUUACAUGUUCAGUGGGUUGUUUGUAUAAAAGUUAAUCUGUUCUAUAAGUUGUAUGGGCUGGUAAGUUGUAUGGGCCUUGGGCUUAUUUGUGUGUUAAGUUUGCAGUUUUGGAAGAUUAGGGGGCAAAGUGAAACAUGGGCUGUUGCUGUUAUAAAAAGGGAAAAGUUAAGUGCAUCUGGAUGAUUCUAACACGCCUGUUUCUCUCUUAUCCCACCUACCUAUCCUUCUUCAGUCUGUUACAAGUUGUUCAAGUAGCUGUUACAAGUCGCUGAUGAUGUUGAUGAUCCAGUGUGGAUCUUAUUUCAGUUGUUGAUCCUUCGUGUGGAUCUGUGGUUACUAUAGAUCCCAUGGAUCUCUGUUUUUGGUUGUGUUGUUCUUGUUAAUCAACUGAUAAUCAUCAGUUGAUUAUUUAUUAUUUCUUGUACUGUUUCUAUUUUGGAUCUUACAGUUUGUAAGGUCUUGGGAGGUUGGGUGUUUUUUCGGUUUGGGCAAAUAAUAAAGUUUUCGUCACCGGUUUUUGUCGCUUCUUUGUUGUUCUGUAUUGUUAGUUGUUUGUGUCAUAGUUUUUCAUACCAUUUUGACAUGGUAUCAGAGCUUAGGCUCUUGAUUCUUCAUCUUCCGCUGGUCUAGUUUUUGGUGCUUAUUCAAGUCCAUACUUCUGAUUGUAGUCAGAAUCUUAGAUCUAAACCCAUGGUUAUUGCUGUUCUUUGAAGGUUUGGAUUCGAAACCCUAACCUAGGGUUUGUCGGUUCCAAAACAGGUGUUCAACAACACACCGAUCUUAACACAAACAAAGCACAUCUGUCAUUUUCACUUUCCUCGAUCGCAACAAUGUCUUCAAGUUCAGGAUUCAGCGGUGAUGAAACCGCUCCCUUUUUUUCGGUUUCCUCGGCGCUGCUGCCGCCCUUGUCUUCUCCUGUAUGGGGGUUGCAUAUGGGACUACUAAGAGUGACUACUAAGAGUGGUGUAGGUGUGGCGUCAUUGGGGGUGAUGAGGUCGGGGCUAGUGAUGCUGGUGUUAGGCAUGAAACGCUCAAGAUCUGGGGACAAGUGCUUGAUUCAGAUCUGUUGGUCUGGUGUUGUAUUUGUCGACAUGUGAAUGGUUUUUUGAAUGGAAAAGUGUGAAGCCUAAGAUCUGGUAUGUUGAAGUCUGUUCUUGCUCUAUUUCUUGAUGAAAUUGAAAGAAUCUAUAGACGAGAUUUAGGGUUGCAAUCAAAACCCUAACAAUGAUUCUUGGCGAAUUUUUCCUGUUUUGGUUCUGUUAUGUUGGGCUUUCUUGAAGACAUCAGAACCCUAAGUGAAGGGAAGGUCACAUACCUUGAUAUGAAAAGGAAGCCCUAACUGAGAAAGUCAAAAAUUUGAAGCAGUAUUAUGGGCUGAGAAGAAAGCAAAUGGUGGCUAAUGGGCUUAGGACAAGAUGAUGUCUCGUGGUAUAUUGGUGCUAUAAAGGUGCAACUGUUCAGUUGUCAAGAAAACAAAUCAGAAAAGUCAUGUACCUACUUUUAGGGUUUCUCUCAUUUUGUUUACAGUUUUUUUCUCAUAUCGUCUCUAGGGUUUGAACAUGUAGUGUUCCGUUUUGCUGUUAGAUUGAGAGUUUUAUGAGAGUAGAUCAUUCUAGUAAUGUUCUAUGUGUGAGCUGUGUGUUGUUAUUAGGAGUCCUAAUUUGUUUUUUUAUUAGCUCAUGUGUCUGAUUGUCUGGGGUUUCCGUUGUGUUCUGUAUUUGUCUCUUGUUUUUUUUGUCUGGUCUGUUUUGAUCUCUUUCUUGGAGUGUGUGCAGGUACAUAUCUUGUGAGAUCUAUUAUCUGCUCUUGUUUCUUGGUGUUACACAAAUCCUAAUUAGGGUUUGUUGGAGGUCAAGGAGGAGACCUAUUAUCUGCUGUUUCUGAAGACCUGUGUUGGUCUCUGAACCCUAGAAGGUUCAGGGCAAACUAACAAGGUGUUGUUUGUUUUUGGCUUGAUCAGUUCUUGUAGUUCUCGAAAACUACAGUUCUGAUCUUCUUUUGAAGCAUAUUGCACCCUUUUUUUGGAAGAUUAGGGGGCAAAGUGAAACAUGGGCUGUUGCUGUUAUAAAAAGGGAAAAGUUAAGUGCAUCUGGAUGAUUCUAACACGCCUGUUUCUCUCUUAUCCCACCUACCUAUCCUUCUUCAGUCUGUUACAAGUUGUUCAAGUAGCUGUUACAAGUCGCUGAUGAUGUUGAUGAUCCAGUGUGGAUCUUAUUUCAGUUGUUGAUCCUUCGUGUGGAUCUGUGGUUACUAUAGAUCCCAUGGAUCUCUGUUUUUGGUUGUGUUGUUCUUGUUAAUCAACUGAUAAUCAUCAGUUGAUUAUUUAUUAUUUCUUGUACUGUUUCUAUUUUGGAUCUUACAGUUUGUAAGGUCUUGGGAGGUUGGGUGUUUUUUCGGUUUGGGCAAAUAAUAAAGUUUUCGUCACCGGUUUUUGUCGCU